ACAUAAUCAAUAUUCACGAAUCUUCUUGAUGGGUAACAGGUUUAAUUUUCACGAUUAUUUGGUUUUGUUCUGAACUAUAUCAAUGAGUGAGAUGAGUUAUAGCAUAUAUUCAAGUGGACUUAGGUUAAUCGACUCGAUGUCAUAAGGCUCUACGAGCCCAAUCACAAACCUAAUCUGUACAUGUUUGGCCUAAGAAUCUGGGUUUAAUCGAGUUCGGGUUGAUUAAUUCAGAUCUAUUCGAAUAUGCUAUUAGAUAAAGACGGACAAUUAAUCUCUUAUGUCCUUAUCUUACUACAAGGAGACAAUUGCAGCAACAGACAUGAGGCGAGCUAGCAUGAUUUAUCGCUAAGUGAGUAUUCUUAUUUUGCCUCUAAUUUCUUUUCUUUCAGUGUGAACUACUGAUUCAUAUGCACCAGUAUAGAAUAUAUAGGGGGCAUUCCAUAUGAAGUGAUACACUCAAAUUUUCAAAGUUGUACGAUUAUGCUGAAAUUUGCACAAAUUAUAGUCCUAUCACAACUAAGAUUUUUGGCCAAAUUGUUUGACUCACGACCAACAGGUUGUUUAGUAACAGAGGCUUGAAGUUUUAGCAUUUGGGCCGUUGUGUCCAACUUCAAACGCCGGACCGAGCGCGUCACGCACGGUGCAGCUCGGCCGCUGUUGCAAGUGCCACGGAUGAUCCGAUCAGUUCUAUUGCUUGUGGCCA